CCGGUUGCUAGGGACGCUGAGAACCUGUGUGAGUGUGACAGCCUGGAGACCAGAGAAUGGAGGACGAGGAACCCGGAGCGGCUAUGGACGCGAUCGUCACUCAGUACAACACGUACGAGGACUUUUUGGACUCCCAGAUUACCGCGCUAGACCUCUAUUAUCUGGAGGAUGAAGAGUUAGCCCGUCAGCUGGUGGAGAUGGGCUACAGAGGAAGUGGAGAGGUACUGAAAAGGGAAGAGUUUGAGGCCAGAAAGGCUGCUGCAGAGGCUGCCAGGCUCUCCCAGAGAACUCAGCAAAAGACAUUGUCAAGCGCAGGAAAGGAAUUGAAAGACAAUUUCCUGAAAGCAUUAGCCUUAAGGGAAGAAGCAAAUCGCAAUGGGAAGAUGACUUCCAUCAUCUUUAUCCGAGAUAAGAAUUCACAUGGGCAGGAGGUGUCUGGAUAUAUUGAUUUUUCUCAUAGGCUAAAGACUGAAGACUUUGACAUGUACUUUACUGGCAAGAAAAGGCUUCUUCCAAGACCCACGGACGUAAGUUUUUAUAACUGGGAAACCCAUGUUUCAACUUCAAACGCAAGUCCAAAUUACCAAGUGAUUGCUGAAAAUUCAUCUGGAUUACUGUUUAAAAAUAAGAGGGACAGGAAAAUACUAAACGUGGAUCCUAAGUAAAGGAAAGCAAAGCACAUGAGGAAAGAGGACCCUGCUCAUGGGAGCUUACAUUCUUAAGGAGAGGGGCAGACAGACAGGAGUUACACAGGCCUCACCAGGAGACAAUUCAAUACGGAUCCCUAUCCAGACUGAUCUUUAUCUACAAGCUGUCAUCUAUGAUCACAUCACCCGACGUAAAACCUAAUAUAUGUAACACCACAUAAAAGCAAACUGUUUGUUUUAUUAAUAAAGUUAUUUCAAAUUUUCAA